rnacentral:rRNA from 1 species
AGCAGCCGCGGUAAUUCCAGCUCCAAUAGCGUAUAUUAAAGUUGUUGCAGUUAAAAAGCUCGUAGUUGAAUUUCGGGAUCAAUGUUUCGGUCAUGCCGUUGGUAUGUACUGAUAUUAUUGGUUUCUCACCUUCUAAAGAACCGUAAUGCCAUUAAUUUGGUGUCACGGGGAAUUAGGACUGUUACCUUGAAAAAAUUAGAGUGUUUAAAGCAGGCUCACGCUUGAAUACAUUAGCAUGGAAUAAUGAAAUAGGACAUCCGAUUCUAUUUUGUUGGUUUCUAGGAUCGAUGUAAUGAUUAAUAGGGAUAGUUGGGGGCAUUAGUAUUCAAUUGUCAGAGGUGAAAUUCUUGGAUUUAUUGAAGACUAACUACUGCGAAAGCAUUUGCCAAGGAUGUUUUCAUUAAUCAAGAACGAAAGUUAGGGGAUCGAAGACGAUCAGAUACCGUCGUAGUCUUAACCAUAAACUAUGCCGACUAGGGAUCGGAUGAUGUUAAAAAAAUGACGCGCUCGGCACCUCAUG